GCCAGACUCCUACGGGAGGCAGCAGUGGGGAAUAUUGCGCAAUGGGCGAAAGCCUGACGCAGCGACGCCGCGUGAGGGAUGAAGGUCUUCGGAUCGUAAACCUCUGUCAGCAGGGAAGAACGGUCACUGUGCUAAUCAGCAGUGAAUUGACGGUACCUGCAAAAGAAGCCCCGGCUAACUACGUGCCAGCAGCCGCGGUAAUACGUAGGGGGCAAGCGUUAUCCGGAUUUACUGGGUGUAAAGGGCGUGUAGCCGGGCUGACAAGUCAGAUGUGAAAUCCGGGGGCUCAACCCCCGAACUGCAUUUGAAACUGUUGGUCUUGAGUAUCGGAGAGGCAGGCGGAAUUCCUAGUGUAGCGGUGAAAUGCGUAGAUAUUAGGAGGAACACCAGUGGCGAAGGCGGCCUGCUGGACGACAACUGACGGUGAGGCGCGAAAGCGUGGGGAGCAAACAGGAUUAGAUACCCCCGUA
rnacentral:rRNA from 1 species